AACGAACGCUGGCGGCAUGCCUAACACAUGCAAGUCGAACGAGACCUUCGGGUCUAGUGGCGCACGGGUGCGUAACGCGUGGGAACCUGCCCUUAGGUUCGGAAUAACUCCCCGAAAGGGGUGCUAAUACCGGAUAAUGUCUUCGGACCAAAGAUUUAUCGCUUUCGGAUGGGCCCGCGUUGGAUUAGCUAGUUGGUAGGGUAAAAGCCUACCAAGGCGACGAUCCAUAGCUGGUCUGAGAGGAUGAUCAGCCACACUGGGACUGAGACACGGCCCAGACUCCUACGGGAGGCAGCAGUGGGGAAUAUUGGACAAUGGGCGAAAGCCUGAUCCAGCAAUGCCGCGUGAGUGAUGAAGGCCUUAGGGUUGUAAAGCUCUUUUACCCGGGAUGAUAAUGACAGUACCGGGAGAAUAAGCUCCGGCUAACUCCGUG
rnacentral:rRNA from 1 species